rnacentral:rRNA from 1 species
GGUAGUGUAGUUAACACCUGCAUUAUUUGACGUUACCUACAGAAGAAGCACCGGCUAACUCCGUGCCAGCAGCCGCGGUAAUACGGAGGGUGCGAGCGUUAAUCGGAAUUACUGGGCGUAAAGACGCAUGCAGGCGGCCUGUUAAGUCAGAUGUGAAAGACCCGGGGCGUUAACCUCCGGAAUUGCAUUUGAAACUAGGCAGGCUAGAGUCUUGUAGAGGGGGGUAGGAAGUUUCAGGUGUAGCGGUGAAAUAGCGUAGAGAUCUGAAGGAAUACCAGUGGCGAAGGCGGCCCCCUCGGACAAAGACUGACGCUCAGAUGCGAAAGCGUGGGGAGCAAACAGGAUUAGAUACCCUGGUAG